rnacentral:misc_RNA from 1 species
GGAAACUUCUGAGAAUACCCAAAAUGGAGUUUCUAUCAAAUUGUCGGGUCAUUUAUGUGGCACGUCACCUAGUCAUCGAUGUUUUCGGCCUCGAAAAUCCAAGAAAUGGAAGAGGCAGUAUUAUAUGCAACAGAGGGCUCGUCAAGAACGAUUAAACAACAGCAGGAAAUGUGUUGCCUGCAAACCUUCUAAGCUAAUUAAUGAUUCUCUGGUGGAGGCCUCAUCAAGCAUAGUUGAUGACGAUACACAUGAUAAAGAACUGAUUACUGAAGAAGCUGAGUGCAAAGGCUCUUUAGC